CGCACCCGCGGCCAGGUCGGCCAGGCCGUCGUGGUUGGCGUCCGCGAGGUGGACGGCCCUGCCGAAGGCGUCGUUCUUCUCGGCGGAGCCCGGC
rnacentral:tRNA from 1 species